rnacentral:rRNA from 1 species
GACGAACGCUGGCGGCGUGCCUAAUACAUGCAAGUCGAGCGCAGGAAGCUGGCGGAACUCUUCGGAGGGAAGGCAGUGGAAUGAGCGGCGGACGGGUGAGUAACACGUAAGGAACCUGCCUCAAGGAUUGGGAUAACUCCGAGAAAUCGGAGCUAAUACCGGAUAGUUCAACGGACCGCAUGGUCCGCUGAUGAAAGGCGCUCCGGCGUCACCUUGAGUUGGCCUUGCGGUGCAUUAGCUAGUUGGUGGGGUAACGGCCCACCAAGGCGACGAUGCAUAGCCGACCUGAGAGGGUGAUCGGCCACACUGGGACUGAGACACGGCCCAGACUCCUACGGGAGGCAGCAGUAGGGAAUCUUCCACAAUGGACGAAAGUCUGAUGGAGCAACGCCGCGUGAGUGAUGAAGGUUUUCGGAUCGUAAAACUCUGUUGUAAGGGAAGAACACGUACGAGAGGAAAUGCUCGUACCUUGACGGUACCUUACGAGAAAGCCACGGCUAACUACGUGCCAGCAGCCGCGGUAAUAC